rnacentral:rRNA from 1 species
ACAGACAACAGGGAUGCCUCAGUAACGGCGAGUGAAGCGGCAAAAGCUCAAAUUUGAAAUCUAGCACCUUCGGUGUUCGAGUUGUAAUUUGAAGAUGGUAACCUUGGGUUUGGCUCUUGUCUAUGUUCCUUGGAACAGGACGUCAUAGAGGGUGAGAAUCCCGUCUGAUGAGAUGCCCAUUCCUAUGUAAGGUGCUAUCGAAGAGUCGAGUUGUUUGGGAAUGCAGCUCUAAGUGGGUGGUAAAUUCCAUCUAAAGCUAAAUAUUGGCGAGAGACCGAUAGCGAACAAGUACAGUGAUGGAAAGAUGAAAAGAACUUUGAAAAGAGAGUGAAAAAGUACGUGAAAUUGUUGAAAGGGAAGGGCAUUAGAUCAGACUUGGUGUUUUACGAUUAUCUUCUCUUCUUGAGUUGUGCACUCGUAUUUCACUGGGCCAGCAUCGAUUCGGAUGGCAAGAUAAUGGCAGUUGAAUGUGGCUUCACUUCGGUGGAGUGUUAUAGCUUCUGCUGAUAUUGCCUGUCUGGAUCGAGGGCUGCGUCUUUUGACUAGGAUGCUGGCGUAAUGAUCUAAUGCCGCCCGUCUUGAAACACGGACCAAGGAGUCUAACGUCUAUGCGAGUG